GUGCAACAAGCAAAAUUGAUCAAAUACAGACACAAACAUUGCUCUUAAUUCAUGACAUUUGUACUGGCUAAUACAGAUAAAGCUACUUUUAAGCUUUUUAUUAAAGACAUAGCUUGACGUCGUAUUACUACAAGCUUCAUCCCGUGUUGUUAUAGCGGUACUUUUUGUUUAAUGUUAGUAUCUUGUUUUAAUCUUUUUCUUCUUCUCGAAGAAGUAAAAGCGCGAAGUUCGACAUUGGCAUUGAAAUCGCUGUAAAUGAUUAAUUUUAAAUGUACUUCUUGCAUUUUUUUUUUUUGUGUCAGUCUUGUUUUGAUAGUCUGACAAAAUAAUGAUGACUGAUGCAUUUAUCAAAAGGUUUAACACAGUCACAUUAAUCUGUUUAAUUUACUUGUAUUCGUUAUUCGAAAAUAGGGGUUAUGAUAUGGAGGAGGACCAUGUUAUGUAGUGCAACUAAUGUAUUCCAAUAAAUGUAAUUGUCACAUUCAUGUCGUAUGGACAGAUCAGUGGUCUACGAUACCAACCAUAAGUGACCAGCGUGUCAUUGAUGACCCAAGGAUUAGUAUAAGCAGGCCUAACAAGACAGACUGGAACUUACACAUCAAUGGAACGGUUCUUAGUGAUAGUGGACAAUAUACUUGCCAGAUCAACACGAACCCUAUCAAGAUGAAAAUCAUUGUGUUAACUGUUCUAGAGAUUGGAGGUUCUGGAGAGGUUCUGGUAAUCCAUAAUGUGUCAAGAUCCUUUGAUGGCAAAUAUGAAUGUACUGCUUACAAUAAUGUUGGUCCGGCGGUUAGUAGAGAGAUUAUGUUGUCUGUAGUAUUUGCUCCAGAGAUUGUUUUGCCUACAAAACGUAUGGGUCAAUAUAUAGGUAGAGAUACCAUGUUAGAAUAUCAGAUAGCCGCCAACCCAGAUGCAAUCACUUAUUGGAAGAAGGUGGAUACUAACACUACUUUCCAGAGCCAGGAAAUAUUCCAGAUAAGCACUUUUCGUGUCUCUGUGGUUUUGACAAUUAAAGAUGUUCUGCCGGAAGACUUUGGUGAAUAUACAUGUUAUGCUGAAAAUGAGUUUGGACAGGACCAGAAAUCAAUGUUUUGAUAUGGUAUGUUCUGAUAAGGAAUCCAUGUAAUAACUGACACGAUUCACUUAAAAGCAAUUAUUGUUUACAUUUAAAUAUCUUACUGUUCUAUGAGGUUUCCUUUCUUUUUGUCAAUCUCUUCGAUCUUGUCUGUCAUUAUAAAAUUGAUUUUUGUACCUGAGCGACCAAGCUUUAUCAUAUUUCUUCGCUCGCUUCGACAUAUAGAAAUCUUUAUAAACUGUGAACAAUGGCUUUAUUCAAGUUUAUUUUAAAAUCAAUAUUAAUAGAGGUCUCUAUUUAAAUCGCACCUAUCUCUGCAAUUAAGUUGAUCGUAGAUUAAUGUAAGGUUGUUUCGUGUGUAAAUCAUGAAAAUUCCAAAUACUCAGAAUUAAUGUAGUACUAGAAAAAAUUAUUUAAUCAGGUGUCUUGCAGUCAGAACUUAUUAUAUUACUUUGACUACGCCGAAUAAUCUACAAACACUCUAAGUCAAUGGAGUGAAAAGGAAAAACAUGUUCCGGAAUAUUAAGAAUAAAACCUAGUAAAAGAUUAAACAGUGACGUAAUAAUAUUUACGACCUAAUAAUGACCUGGGUUCCUAUCAACUAUUGAUAAUAUAUGUAGUGCUGGGUACGAGAGUAGAACAGUGUACUACUUUAGCCCUUUUGACCAUAAUAAGUUGAUUACACUAGACGUUUUAGAAAACUAUUCUGGGUAGUGAAAGGAAUAUGGUCUUUGACAGAGUUUUCCUCUUAUACCGAGAACAAAUCAACAACAAAUGGACCAAUCUUCGCAGAACCAAAAACGGACAUUCCAAUAUCUCCUGAAGGUGGUGAAGAGAAUGGGACCGCUAGCGUGACUGCUAUUCAUUGUAUGGCAAUGAUGUCGAUUUUAUACGUUUGGAGCAAGCUUUUGCUGUAAUCAGCUUCGUUACAGUUUAACAAGUUUAAACAGCCAACGGGCAAAAAGAGAUUACUAUUUUUGACUUUUUAUUGGUUUAUUAUGCCAGAUUAUGGAGUACUAUGUGGAUCAUUCAGUGGACAAAUAUGGCUGCUGCUAAUGCUUGUCUAUAUAAUUACAUGUUAAAUUAUUUAUAGGCUAUAGAUCACUUAUUGCCCUUCUAAUGAAUAAAGUUAUUGUAUUGACUUUGGUGCCUUUAUUUCAUUUGAUAGUCAAUAAAUGAUAUAUAACCUUUA
rnacentral:misc_RNA from 1 species